UUAUUACAUCAUACUUUAAGGGGCUCAGCUUGACUACUACUCAUGUGGUCCAGUCUUAACUACUACGCAGAUGUCAACCAGUGUGCAGUUUGGCCUCCCUAGUAGCGUGCUUUCCAACGUUAUCCCACUCACUCGUGUGUCCGACCUACAGUAUUGAAAAAUCAUUCGAUUGUGCUGCUCAACUGUCUCACUAGUGAGAAAAAAAAGUGUGGUGGUAGUAGUAGGCUACAAGGAAAAUAUGUAAUAAAUGCUCAAACAGCUUUUCGCCGCGUUGUUUACUAGGCACGAAGUCGUAAUUCUUGUCGCCAUGGAAACGCCCACCGCUCAGCUCAUGAAUGUCAACAGGCCAUUUUCGACAGUAUGACGUCAUUCUGUAAACGAAACACUAGACGGAGCCAGAGAGCCACGGGUGAAGUACGCGUCACCUGAAAAUAAAAACCAUUCGGACGUGCUUGCACAAAACGAGUCAGUAGAAACGAAAACGAUGCUAAACGACGUCGAACGUGUUUCAGCUGCAAGCAGUAAACUCAAGCUUGACUCCAAAACAAGAACCACAAAGUCUCGCGAGAUGAGGAGGUGACGUCGCAAAUCGAUCCCGGAAAUCAUUUCACGAAUCAGCAUAAUGGCCGACGAGCAAAUGAUGAACUUCCCAGCAAACUGCCCAUUCAUCGUUGGAGGUUCAUAUCGGAAACUAUAGCCACACGCCUCGACGUUUUCGCCUUGAGGAUAUGCGUCACAUCUGACCUGAUGCAACCUCAGCUUCUCCAUCAGCCCUGUCCACAGCACUUUUAAGCAUAAGCGGAUGCAAUGAGCCCAUCCGUUUCCAGCUUCUGCUCGCCGCUGUCACUCUAAUCACAGUUACUGCUCCAACUUUACUCUCAAUAGUACGCAAACCAUGUCUGGCUCGGGUGACUUACCAGCUCUGGAAGGUCCCGGGAUGGGCGGAAUGAAGCUCCCCGUCGGCAUGACCCGCCGGGCGCUCAGCUACGACGACAACCUGGAGGCGCCGAUGUCCACGCCCCCGCACGACAUCAACAUCACCAACCUGUGGAGGCGCCCCGUCGUGCCCGAGAGGAAGUUCAACCACCUGGCGGAGGAGGAUGAAGGCGUUGCGGUUGGUCAAUCUAAGGUGUUGGACAGCGCCUCGUCCAGGUCCACGGGUGUAGUGAAGACCAAGGCUUCCUCCCUCAUCCUCAACUCUCUCAUCACCAAGCAGUCCCACGACAGCAUGUACAAGUUUGAAGAGAAGGCGGGCCUAACCGACACCAGUUACACUCCGCACAAAGGCCUGACGGCAGAGGAGACGAGACACCAUCACCGCAUGCCUGAAUCCUUCCAGAAAAUGCAGAUUCAGAGCAUGGAGGCUCGGGAAGAGCGCCAGACCUCGUCGGCCCAGUCCACACCAUCCACCACCCCGCACACGUCCCCAAAACAACAGCGCAGAACCUGGUUCAGCAGCACCAGUUCGGACGUCAGCGUGAGCUCCUCCAACAGCAGUGUGGAUCUGGUGGGAGGCGACGGAGGAGGCGGCGGCGUGCUGGAGCGCUGGGGCGUGUUUGGGCCACGGCCGCCGGUGCACAAGUCCACUUCCGAUCUGGGCACCGAUCCUAUCGUGCCAGCAGGCUUUGCGCUUCAGGCUUACCGCGGCAUCCACAAGCCCAGCGCGGCGGAGGUCAUGAAGUCGCAGGCGGCCACCCGGUUGGCCGACGGCCCCGACGCCCAGAGGGCUGCCGCCCUGCCCAGGAUGGAGAUCCCGACGGCGGAGGGGCGGCGGCAGGGCGCCCGCCCGCACAAGCUCAAGCCGCGCGACAUGAACAUCCUUACGCCCUCCGGCUUCUAGAUGCCGCAGCCCGUCCCGCGACCACUCUGACGAGGUCACACGGUCUCCCAUUUCCACCUGUCAAAAUGGCAGCUCCAGUGUACGGUGCAACCUCCGCUUCAGAACAUAAUUCAUAUUUGUUUGUAGCAUUUUCACACAGAAUGGAAUCCAAAUAGAGCAAAGUGUCCUCUUUGGAGCAGGGAGCCAGGCGAUGGCAGAGUGAUUGAUACCAGUGAGCAUCUUUCAUAGCUCCAUGUCCGCCUGCAGUGUGGCGUUGCGGUGGUCCGCAGCCGCCCUGGCCCGCUCAACCUGGCCGAUCCUGACCUCCGCCGCGCUCCGACUGCGCCUCUGCUGCUCCAGGCGGUCGCGCAGUGCUGCCACCUGCCGCUCGAGGGCGUCAUUGCAGCGCUCCAACCUGUGGUGAGUGAGUGAGGGCACCAAUAUCAAUUAUUUGCACUUGUAAUGGAUACAUGAUAGAAAAGAGCACUGAGCCCAGCCAGCAGCGACGUGUGUUUGUUUUGAACCUGUGUAUCCUGGACUGGUACUCGUACGUCUGCUGGGCCAUUUGCUGUCGAAGUUUGCCUAGGAGAGGCUGAGCAUCGUCCGGAGGAGCGGACGGUAGGAACACCUCUGAGCUCCCGGUGCUGAUGGGGCUGAGGAUGGACCCGGAUGUCGGGGUGUUCAGGCGUCUUCCGUUAUGGUCACUGUCUGUGUCAGCGUCAAGAUGUUUUUCAUCUACAGCUUGACGUGAGGGGGACGUCAAGACUGGACUACCCCGACCUGCGGGAUAUUGCCUCUGGUCCAGAGGUAUAAUCUCGCAGGAGGACCACGACGAGGAGUCGCCCACUGUCUGCCACGCCUCCUCUGAUUCUUGGCCAGAGUUUUCCUCGCUGUUUGGGUCCAAAUGCUCACCUGCAAUGUCGUCCAAUGUCUGACUGGAAGACGCUCUGUCCAAGUUGUCAUAAUGGGAUAGCGUGCUGUCUUCCUGCGCCUCACUGCUGUCCCCGCUGGCCUCUUGGGCGCCCUCAACUUUAGCGACUGCCAUCUGAGUGGCACUUGAACUCCACAGGUAGCCGCCCCCUGCUGCAGCUGGUGGUGGAAAAGAACCAAGUACAAAUAUGAGGAGAUGACUCGAUAGCGGGAAGAAGCAGUUUUCCGGAUGCGACGAGGUGUAGCGAUGGCCCAGGAAGCUCUCGCGGUUGGAGGUGACUUCCGACGACAAAGGGAUUGAGCUGCACGAGCAAGCGAAACAGCGUCGGGCUGUGUUGUAAAUCAACUGGAGGAGCCACCUCUGGAUUUCAAUUGGUUUGACAGUCACAAAUCCAGAAGGUACCUGCUACUCUCUCCCGACUCCCGGCACGGCUCGGCAAUAAGUGGCAGCGACAUCUGGCGAAGGCAGGGGGCUUGGUGCAGAUGCGCUCGUCUGAGAGGACCGGGCGACGCGUGAAAUCCUCUGGCUGUUUGCGCGGGAGCUGCUAGGGAGACUCUGGAAAACAGGGACUGGUGCUCCCUGAUCAACUCCGACAUCAGCACCUGGACGAGUGCUGCACCUGGAACACAAGCCUUCAAAGCUCCUUCUGACAUUCUAACCUAAGCAAGCGCAUGAGCCUUUUGACUUGGUGUCCACCUCCCACGAUGCUUUGCGGGUCCUCCGCCUUAGCUCGGAGAAUGUUGGGCCCAAAGACCGUGGCCAAGUUCUGGCAGCUCAUCUUGUUCCCUUUUGAGUGACUCUGCACCUCGUUGAGGAACCUAUCAAGCAAUGACUCAUCAUGGCACCUUGCAGACAUUUUGGAUCUUUUUGCAGUAGCUCUUACUGGCAUAUAAAGUGAAGAAGGUUGAAGUUGGCCACCGGCAGCUCCUGAAGAAGACUCCUCAACUCCUCCAAGCCCUGAGGAUUAUGGUGUUUUACUUUCCGCAUACUAGACCAUUUUUUGCUAUUUCCUUAUCUUGUUUUGGAGUAGCGCAUUCAUCACCUGCGCGCGGUCACUCGAAAGCUUUUGCCCACUGAGGAGAAAGUCCCGGUAGUGACCGAAAGGAACCAAAGGCUCAGGUAGCUGCCGCAAGUAGAGCUUCAGCAGUGAUGCCACCGUGUGGACAUCUGUGUUACUGCAAAGGCAUCAAGUUCCCUCACUGAAGCAAGCAAGCAAUCAAUCAAUCGGCCGGCUGGAAGUUUGGAGGCUUACCUGUCGAAGGAGGGCCUUUCCCCGGCGUCAAAGGCCUCCUGCAGCUCCCUCACCGAGCUGGCCCGUCCCGGUUGGCGAAACAAGCCCACCUCCUGGAGGCCCCGCUCUCGUAUAAAGGCCACGCACUGCUCCACCACCAGGGGAACCGAGCAAACGCCGUAACGCCGCUCGUACAGCACCGUCUCCUCCAGACGCUGACCAAAGACACCUAAGCGGGACUCAAGUUGGAGUUGAUAAACAAGCAUCCCAAGAUGCCUACUCACUCACUCACUCCGUCUGUUUACCUGUGAAGGGGAUCCAGACUCCCCUAUUGAGGCUUUUCAGCCACUCGUCCCCCUGGCCGGCGCUGUUGGACAGGAAGAAAUAGGAACCCGGGCUGGCCAAAACGUCUCUGUUUCCUGCGCGCGCCCACACACACAAACACACACAGCCAUCCAAAGAUGCUUUUUACGGUUUGGACGCUAAAGGGACGAGUCCCAUCUCAGGCGGUGCGGCCAGUCAACAUGACGUGAGUGAGAUCUUUUUGUCCAACGGCAGAGCGGAGGCUACUUAAUGAGCAAAUUGGAUCACGUCCAUGCGAGAUAAGAUCACAGGAGGUCAUAUCAAUUAUUGUCCAGAUGGUGUUCAUUUACUAGGAGUCGCUACUUGAGAUACUUAAUCAAAUCUAUACACAUAUAUAUAUCUGUCCAGGUGGCAGUACUGAUCUGCCAUCAGGCAGCAGAGUAAAUCAAAGAAAAUGCAUCAAACUAGUUGUACAGUUCAAUAUUAUUUAUGUAGCAUAUGAUGGACAAAAGGUUCAGGUAGAACUUUAUAUUGAACACGGAACCAAAAGGAUGUAUAUAUGCUUUGUCUAUAUAUUCUCACACACACACUCGCAUGGCAGUUGUCUUGUAGCUUUUGACAUGCCUCACUCAUUCCCCUCUUCAAAGUUAAAUUCAAAAUGCUCAAA